UGCCGUCUGCAGCUGUCUCCUGCAGCUCGAGAGACAGGGCGAAAAGUAGUCACUGAGGCUGCUUUAAUAAUCAGCAUACGCGAAACACCUUGGUUUUCUCGGUGCUGAGCGUUGAAGAGGAAGCCUUGUCGCGGCCUCGCCAGAGACAUUUUUGUGUGGCUGGGAACAAGAACCGUGCAUUUUCAGGCUUCCCCUGAGUUUUGCGCUUUAUUUUCUCACAGAAACUUGAGCGAGGCAAUUUUUGGGAAAGAAGCCUUUUUCUGAGCGGUCUGAGGUGGGAAAUCAGAGCGAUUCCCAGCCGCAGAGAAAGGGGAGCCGAUUUUUUAGAUUCGGGCUGGUUUCUGGCGCGAGACAGCGAAGGCCCAGAGAAAGGGGAACGCGGCGGCGGCGAUGGGACGACAGGACGGUGUUGGGGACGCCCUGAGGGGACCUCACCUUGACUAUAAGGUUAGAAAGAAGAGUUGGUGUGUACAAGCAAUUGAGGACGUUUAGCAGGAAGAAAAAACCCUUUUGACUGCCUUCAUCUGAUUUUCUCAACUCACACCCCCUUGGCUAUGGCAGGUACCCACAGCAGCUGGAUACAGGCUCCCACAGCCAGACACCUGCAUCACCAGGCUCACCGGGGCCUGCCACCCUCCUCACUGAGGACACCCAGGAUGAUGUUCUCCAGCCCUGUCUGCACCCUUAGCUGUCACCUGGCCCAGAACCACAGCCUGCCAAAGCAGGAGACCCUCACAGUCCUGCCCCUAACAGGGAGAAUCUUCUUUGUUUUCCUGCCUGAAGGACAAGAAGGUUUUCAGGUUCCAUCAGCACCAGCUGGCUGACAGCCAGUUCCCAAACGCUCAGGCCGCCUCAUUCUCCAUGAGACGAUACAGCACUUCUCCAUCGUCUUCAGCACAAAGAGCUGAAAUUCCUCAGUGGGCUUGAUCAACAGUGGGCAGAUCUGGAGACUAGUUUGGUGCAGGAGAUGCAGAGGAAAAGACCCUGCUGGGCAAUGAGGACUCCAGCCUGACUUUGAAGAACUUCCAAAGGACCAGGCUCGAUCUGAAAAGAAAGUCCACAGCUGCUGUGCCCAGGACAAUAUGAGAGUGGAAGUUAAGGCGUGAAAAUCAGAGUGUGCUUUCCCUGUAUGUUCAACCUCAGAGAACGCAGGAGUGGGAAAAGGAGACCUGGACCCAAUCUUCUACAAUGGAGUCUUCUCUGCUUAGAGGUGGCCUCUAGCGCGUCCAUAUUCACUCCCUUCAAUGACUUUUCUUCUGAUUCAGUUGUAAAUACAUCGAGUCACCUCAGCACAUUGUUUUUCAACAGUAAGUGGAACAAUACUUUUGAAU